rnacentral:piRNA from 1 species
ACUUCUUACUGACUUACUCCU